rnacentral:rRNA from 1 species
AUUGAACGCUGGCGGCAGGCUUAACACAUGCAAGUCGAGCGGAGAUGAGGUGCUUGCACCUUAUCUUAGCGGCGGACGGGUGAGUAAUGCUUAGGAAUCUGCCUAUUAGUGGGGGACAACAUUCCGAAAGGAAUGCUAAUACCGCAUACGUCCUACGGGAGAAAGCAGGGGAUCUUCGGACCUUGCGCUAAUAGAUGAGCCUAAGUCGGAUUAGCUAGCUGGUGGGGUAAAGGCCUACCAAGGCGACGAUCUGUAGCGGGUCUGAGAGAUGAUCCGCCACACGGGGACUGAGACACGGCCCAGACUCCUACGGGAGGCAGCAGUGGGGAAUAUUGGACAAUGGGCGGAAGCCUGAUCCAGCCAUGCCGCGUGUGUGAAGAAGGCCUUUUGGUUGUAAAGCACUUUAAGCGAGGAGGAGGCUACCUGGAUUAAUACUCUAGGAUAGUGGACGUUACUCGCAGAAUAAGCACCGGCUAACUCUGUGCCAGCCGCCGCGGUAAGAC